UGGCUAGGACGGUAGAGAAUUGGAAAAGAAGAGGACCUAAACCCAUUUAUUAUGUUCUUUUAUCAGCACUAGAAAUAGAGUUUUUGUUUUGGAAAAAUGUGCCAGCCACUUAUAAUCUUCUUUAGGUACCAAGUACUUUUCCUUGGAGGGGUAAUUCUUUUCCCUUUCUUGUCUGAGUUGACAGAGCUUGACCAAGAAACAGAAUUAUAUACUGACCCCCCAGCACCAGGGGUGAGUAUAUAAUUGAAGCCUAAGUCAUUAUUUUCUAACGUUGAUUGUAUACAAUGUCAAUGGACAACAACUCAAUUGUAUGACAUCCCCCAAGCCUCAGGGAUUGAUUCGGGAUGGUCAGACGAUGACCUGGUUCUGGUCAAUAAGACUCAGGCCUUGAAUAUUUGUGGGGGUUGCUUAGAAGACGCCCCAUAAGCCUGAAACUGCUAGCAGCUCUCUGGACUCUGUAAAGGGAGGAACUGCCUGAGACAGACAAACAGAGUUGACUGAUAGAGAAAGACUGGGUUUUGUUGACAUUGAAGCUGGCUUUACCUGGAUAGGUGAAUUUACAUGUGAUUAAGUUUAACUUGCUUUCUGCCUUAAUCUAGGCUAAGCAGGGCCCCUACUUAAAGAUCAUUGCUACUAAAAAUUAUUGAUAUACCCAUUCAUAGACUUUAAAGAAAAUGCCAGUGGAGAAUUCCCUGGUGGUCUAGAGAUUAGGACUCCAUGCUUCCAAUGACAGGGGUUGGGGUUCGAUCCCAGGUUGGGGAACUAAGAUCCCAUAAGCCAAGUGGUGCAGCCAGGGGAAAAAAAGAAAGAAGAUGCCGGUAAAGGGUUGUCCUUAAAGAGGAUCUUGCCGCUGAAAUGGGCUCUUUUGCUCUAUUCUGGGCUUCCCUGGUGGCUCAGAUGGUAAAAAAUCUGCCUGCAACGCAGAAGACCCGGCUUCCAUCCCUGAGUUGGGAUGUCUCCUCCCCGGCACUUCGUCACACAUCGGCGGCGGCGGAAGGCGCGACGGCAGAGGAAAACUUCUCGCUGCGGUGAGCGCUCAACCAGACUGCGCUGCGCCGCGCCGAGCCGGGGCCGCCGCUCCGGCCGCGGGAGCCUGACGUCUCCCCACUUCGUAUUGAUUUGGAGGAACUUGAGUGAGAGAGAAUCGUGUUUAUAAUGAUAUGAACACCUCUUUUUCCCUUUGGAGGGGACUUAGGAUGUGACUAUAUAAAACAAAACCCACUUUUGUCAUGUGUGCGUGACAGCUCCAACUGAGAAUCUUGCAAACUUUAUACACAAAACAAAGCCAUCACUGAUGUUACUGCCAGGAUGCAGGAGCUACUGGCCAGAGAUCCCCACUAAGAACUCACUCCCACAUUUCCAGAUGAGUGCUACGAGAUGAGGUUCUUAAACUAAGACUCCUAAUUUGGUGCCCUGCUAAAAGGAAAAACCAAGGCAACCAAAAAUAGACAUACACUGACUCCUUAUACAGUUGAGAAUUUUGACAGAAUAACAUGCAGAGGAGUGGAGAAUUCAAGGUGGGUAGGAAGACUGGGGGAGAAGACGAUGGCACCCCACUCCAGUACUUUUGCCUGGAAAAUCCCAUGGACGGAGGAGCCUGAUAGGCUCCAGUCCAUGGGGUCGCUAAGAGUCUGGCAUGGCUGAGUGACUUAACUUUCACUUUUCCCUUUCAUGCAUUGGAGAAGGAAAUGGCAACCCACUCCAGUGUUCUUGCCUGGAGAAUCCCAGGGACAGAGGAGCCUAGUGGGCUGCUGUCUAUGGGGUCGCACAGAGUCGGACACGACUGCAGUGACUUAGCAGCAGCAGCAGGAAGACUGGGAUCACAAACGAAUGCAACACACCUUGGCAAAAAUAAAACCCAUCUAAAAAGAACAGGCCAAAUAAAAUUAAAAAGUAAAUAAUUAAAAUAAAAAGAACAGGCCUUGGGACUUCCCCGGUGCUCCAGUGGUUAAGAAUCCACCUUGCAACGCAGGGGUUUGAUCCCUGGUUGGGGAACUAAGAUCCUGUAAGACACAGAGCAAUUUAGCCCAUGUACCACAACUGCUGAGCCUGUGCACCACAAUGAAAGAUCCUGCAUGUAGAAACUAAGACCCAGCAUGGUCAAAUAAAUAAAAUAGAUUAAUUUAAAAAAGAACAGGCC
ensembl:lncRNA